UACGUAGGUCCCGAGCGUUGUCCGGAUUUAUUGGGCGUAAAGCGAGCGCAGGUGGUUUAUUAAGUCUGGUGUAAAAGGCAGUGGCUCAACCAUUGUAUGCAUUGGAAACUGGUAGACUUGAGUACAGGAGAGGAGAGUGGAAUUCCAUGUGUAGCGGUGAAAUGCGUAGAUAUAUGGAGGAACACCGGUGGCGAAAGCGGCUCUCUGGCCUGUAACUGACACUGAGGCUCGAAAGCGUGGGGAGCAGACAGG
rnacentral:rRNA from 1 species